UACGGGGGGGGCAAGCGUUGUUCGGAUUUACUGGGCGUAAAGGGCUCGUAGGCGGCCAACUAAGUCAGACGUGAAAUCCCUCGGCUUAACCGGGGAACUGCGUCUGAUACUGGAUGGCUUGAAUCCGGGAGAGGGAUGCGGAAUUCCAGGUGUAGCGGUGAAAUGCGUAGAUAUCUGGAGGAACACCGGUGGCGAAGGCGGCAUCCUGGACCGGCAUUGACGCUGAGGAGCGAAAGCCAGGGGAGCAAACGGG
rnacentral:rRNA from 1 species